rnacentral:rRNA from 1 species
GAUGAACGCUGACAGAAUGCUUAACACAUGCAAGUCAACUUGAACUUGGUUUGGGUGGCGGACGGGUGAGUAACGCGUAAAGAACUUGCCUCACAGAUAGGGACAACAUUUGGAAACGAAUGCUAAUACCUGAUAUUAUGAUUUUAGGGCAUCCUAGGAUUAUGAACGCUAUAUGCGCUGUGAGAGAGCUUUGCGUCCCAUUAGCUAGUUGGAGAGGUAACGGCUCACCAAGGCGAUGAUGGGUAGCCGGCCUGAGAGGGUGAUCGGCCACAAGGGGACUGAGACACGGCCCUUACUCCUACGGGAGGCAGCAGUGGGGAAUAUUGGACAAUGGACCAAGAGUCUGAUCCAGCAAUUCUGUGUGCACGAUGAAGUUUUUCGGAAUGUAAAGUGCUUUCAGUUGGGAAGAAAAAAAUGACGGUACCAACAGAAGAAGUGACGGCUAAAUACGUG